rnacentral:rRNA from 1 species
AUUCCAGCUCCAAUAGCGUAUAUUAAAGUUGUUGCAGUUAAAAAGCUCGUAGUUGGAUUUCUGGGAGGGUGGCGAUGUCCGCUUAACGUGUGUGCAGCGGCGCCCUUCCAUCCUUCUGUUAGCGUCUCUUGGCAUUCAUUUGCUGGUGGCGGGCUCAGAUAUUUUACCUUGAGAAAAUUAGAGUGUUUCAGGCAGGCUAGGCCGGAAUACAUUAGCAUGGAAUAAUGGAAUAGGACUACGGUCUCUUUGUUGGUUUGAGGGACUGCAGUAAUGAUUAAUAGGGAUAGUUGGGGGCAUUAGUAUUUAAUUGUCAGAGGUGGAAUUCUCAGAUUUGUUAAAGACUAACUUAUGCGAAAGCAUUUGCCAAGGAUGUUUUCAUUA